GAGUUUGAACCUGGCUCAGGAUGAACGCUGGCGGCGUGCCUAACACAUGCAAGUCGAGCGAAGCACUUUAAUUUGAUUCUUCGGAUGAGGAUUUUUGUGACUGAGCGGCGGACGGGUGAGUAACGCGUGGGCAACCUGCCUUACACAGGGGGAUAACAGUUAGAAAUGACUGCUAAUACCGCAUAAGACCACAGUACUGCAUGGUGCAGUGGUAAAAACUCCGGUGGUGUAAGAUGGGCCCGCGUCUGAUUAGGUAGUUGGCGGGGUAACGGCCCACCAAGCCGACGAUCAGUAGCCGACCUGAGAGGGUGACCGGCCACAUUGGGACUGAGACACGGCCCAGACUCCUACGGGAGGCAGCAGUGGGGAAUAUUGCACAAUGGGGGAAACCCUGAUGCAGCGACGCCGCGUGAGCGAUGAAGUAUUUCGGUAUGUAAAGCUCUAUCAGCAGGGAAGAAAAUGACGGUACCUGACUAAGAAGCCCCGGCUAACUACGUGCCAGCAGCCGCGGUAAUACGUAGGGGGCAAGCGUUAUCCGGAUUUACUGGGUGUAAAGGGAGCGUAGACGGCGGUGCAAGCCAGAUGUGAAAGCCCGGGGCUCAACCCCGGGACUGCAUUUGGAACUGUGCUGCUAGAGUGUCGGAGAGGCAGGCGGAAUUCCUAGUGUAGCGGUGAAAUGCGUAGAUAUUAGGAGGAACACCAGUGGCGAAGGCGGCCUGCUGGACGAUGACUGACGUU
rnacentral:rRNA from 1 species